AUUUACUCUGAUAUUAACUUGCUAUUAAACUGACAUUUGGAACUUUUGCUUUUAUACAAAACAAGAUCAUUUCCCCCCUGAAAUAAAC